rnacentral:rRNA from 1 species
GACGAACGCUGGCGGCGUGCUUAACACAUGCAAGUCGAACGGAAAGGCCCUGCUUUUGUGGGGUGCUCGAGUGGCGAACGGGUGAGUAACACGUGAGUAACCUGCCCUUGACUUUGGGAUAACUUCAGGAAACUGGGGCUAAUACCGGAUAGGAGCUCCUGCUGCAUGGUGGGGGUUGGAAAGUUUCGGCGGUUGGGGAUGGACUCGCGGCUUAUCAGCUUGUUGGUGGGGUAGUGGCUUACCAAGGCUUUGACGGGUAGCCGGCCUGAGGGGGUGACCGGCCACAUUGGGACUGAGAUACGGCCCAGACGCCUACGGGAGGCAGCAGUGGGGAAUAUUGCACAAUGGGCGGAAGCCUGAUGCAGCAACGCCGCGUGCGGGAUGACGGCCUUCGGGUUGUAAACCGCUUUCGCCUGUGACGAAGCGUGAGUGACGGUAAUGGGUAAAGAAGCACCGGCUAACUACG